UCUGUGGGAGGGCGCAUAUAAAAUGUUAAAUUUUCCGUAAUUUACGCAAUAUUAUCACAUGAAACACGAUCAAUAAAUAAAUACUUCAAUAUUGCAAUAUUAGGUUUAGUAAUUAAAAAUUAGUUUAUAGAAAUGAUCAAAUUUUCAAUAAGAAACAUGUGUCCAGCCGGCAAGCAAGCACUUACUUGUUUUUUACUGUCUGCAACUGUGUUUGUGGUAUCAUUCUUCUCUGGAAAUGUACUUGGCUUCUCGGCGGAGCUCUGGGCCCUCAGGUUUUGGGGCCCCGCGCUCUACUUUUGCCUUUUUAACUUCAUUUUGAGGUACAUGUACAAAGGCUUCACAUACGAGGUGUCAAUACGAUCUGCAUUUCUUGGGGCCGCUUUUUCGUCUGGACUUUUCCUUUCGACUUUCGACAACGGAUGGCGGGUGUUUGGACUUGUGCAGUACGGAUUGGCUGCGGUGGCUAGUUGGACGGAGUGGGGGCUUGAAUAUUACUUCUUUCCUGGCAUGAAGACCUAUUUCUGGCUGUCGUACGUAGGAGUGUUGAUGUGCAUAGGAGGAGAGGUACUCAGGAAGUCCGCCAUGUUCACAGCCAAAACCAACUUUAAUCACACCGUUCAGUAUGUGAAGCAGCCGGAUCACCAGCUGGUCACGCACGGUGUGUACGGCGUAUGUCGGCAUCCGAGCUAUGUGGGGUGGUUCUACUGGUCCAUAGGCACGCAGAUAACCUUACUAAACCCAGUAUGCAUGCUGGUGUACACACUGGCAUCGUGGACGUUCUUCCGCGAGCGGGUGUACGCUGAAGAACUUACCCUGCUCACCUUCUUCGGGCAGCAGUACGUGCAGUACCAGUCGCGGGUCGGGACUGGUCUUCCUCUUAUACCAGGAUAUGUGCCUGAUAACACUCAACAAACUCUUCGCCCGGACCACUGGAGCUAUUGAUACGUGGUACGUAUUUGCGUCUUUUACAAUGGUCACUUAAAAACAAGUCACACAGAGGCACCGGGACAGUAAGGCUACGCAUUAUAUUUCUAUGACAUUUGAGCGCCUCUUUUGCGUUACACCUUCGUGUUAAAAUCGAAUGAAAACGAUCGAUGCGAAUGACUGUUUCGCGUGCUCUGUGGUAUGAUAGGGUGCAUCUAAACUAGAACGAUACAAAAAUACCGCCCCCGCAUCGCUCCUGGUAAUAUUAUAUUUUGAGAAACCUACAAAAACCAAAAAAACAUACAAAAAAUAUUUAUGAUGUUUUUGUAAGUGGUAGAGUCGAAAGAGGAAGGCCUAGGUGAACAUACCGCGAUCAGCGGGGUUAAAAUGGCCACAUCGAAGCAAUUCACCUACCAAAGCAAUAUUGAAAUUUGACAUUUGCGCAUAUAAAAGUAAGUGCGCAAUGCAAACAAAUGUCAAAUAGCAAUAUUGCUUUGGUAGGUGAAUUGCUUCGAUGUGGCCAUUUUAACCCCCCGCAGCGGGCUUAGCACCGUAAGCGCGCGACUCUUUCUCGCCCCGAAAUACUUCGCCCGUCACUCUCUCACAGUACUGCACAGAAAGAGACAGAUGAUCUCUGCCGCGGCGAGAAAGAGUCGCGUGCUUACGGUGCUAAGCCCACAGAUCCAUCCAGGAUGUUUUAUAGAAAGGCCAGGUCACAGUACUUACUCUAAAUCGGCGAGCAUACAUGUACAGUCAUGAGCAAUAUAAUGUCACUUUAGGACUCUGUCGCACUAACAUAUUUGACAUUUGGUGAGACUUCAGUUCAAUUUGUCAAAAAAGUUAAUGUGACAUGGUACCAAAGUGUAUACAUAUUAAUGCUCGUGACCGUAGACUUUCAGAUUGGAAGAAACGAACGUGGCGUGUCAGGAGUCACCUACCCCAACGGGAAAUAGGCGUGAACUUAUGUAAAUAUGUACACAUAUCUACACAUAAAUAAACUCACGCCCGCUCUCCACGAAGGGGUGGGCAGAGACAAAUAAGCAGAAGACUAUUUGGCUGCAAAUCAGGAAACAUACGGUGACAGGGAAUCAGUCCAUAUAAUGUUAGAAAGUACUCACCCGCUGUUGGUUUUUAUGACAUCCGGGAAGAUCAGCAGCACGCGUUCUAUCUUUUUUAUUCGCUCCCAAUUAACAUGGAAGCUUAAGCUGAUUUGUCAUAUUAAUCAAAAAAUACAAUAUCAAACAAGGACUUAACAUUUCAUAUUAUUAUACAGGGGGCUACAAACUUCACGUCGAAACAAUUCAUCUUCAAAAGCAAUAUUGCUAUUUGACAUUUAUUUGUUGACAUUGCGCACUUUUAUAUGCGCAAAUGUUAAAUUGCAAUGUUGCUUUUUUAAAUGAGUUGCUUUCAUGUGGCCUUUUUAACUCCCCAAAUAGGUAACUAAUAUAAUUAAUUAUAUUUAAGAAUCGAAACUUAUCUCUUUUAAUGUUUACUUACCGUAAGUGCCGAUAAAACUGAAAAUGCAUUUGUAAUAAUAAUACAUGGUGUUAGUGACACCGUAACGAAUACUGAGGGGUAUAAUUCAGACCACGAUUCAGUCGCAAUUGUAUAUUUUUUCGAUGGAAAAUUCCAUAUAAUCAUAAUCAUAAACUGCCUAUAUACGUCCCACUGCUGGGUACAGGCCUCCCCUCAAUCAACCGGAGGAGCAUACUCCACCACGCUGCUCCACUGCGGGUUGGUGGAGGUGUUUUUACGGCUAAUAGCCGGGACCAACGGCUUAACGUGCCCUCCGAAGCACGGAAUCAUCUUACUUUUUCGGACAAUCAGGUGAUUCAAGCCUGUAAUGUCCUUACCAAACAAAGGACAGUCUCACAAAGUGAUUUCGACAAUGUCCCCAUCGGGAAUCGAACCCGGCCCUCCAGAUCGUGAGCCUAACGCUCUAACCACUAGACCACAGAGGCUGUUAUGCAGAUGGGAUGCGGUAAUAACGAGAUUUUUGUAUGGAGUGUGGCUUAAGUAUACUUUGUUUAAGGUUUCUCUUCGACCAAAUUGUCUACACCUCUGUGUAUUUAAUUUUAAUUAUGCUAAAUUUCUGUUCUUUUAUAAAUUUUCUUUUCGCAGUCGAAAUUUUGUCAAACAUUAAGCUAAGCUUGUUUCACGAAUCUGUGUCCACAAUCUAAUACUGUCUAUAUCUAUAAAAUAUUGUAACACUAAGAUGGUAGCUGAUGCCUAUAGCACAGGCUUGAGUCUAUUUUAGA